GUAGGUGGCAAGCGUUGUCCGGAAUUAUUGGGCGUAAAGCGCGCGCAGGCGGUUCUUUAAGUCUGAUGUGAAAGCCCACGGCUCAACCGUGGAGGGUCAUAGGAAACUGGAGAACUUGAGUACAGAAGAGGAAAGCGGAAUUCCACGUGUAGCGGUGAAAUGCGUAGAGAUGUGGAGGAACACCAGUGGCGAAGGCGGCUUUCUGGUCUGUAACUGACGCUGAGGCGCGAAAGCGUGGGGAGCAAACAGGGAUUAGAUACCCUGGUAGUCCACGCCGUAAACGAUGAGUGCUAAGUGUUAGGGGGUUUCCGCCCCCUUAGUGCUGCAGCUAACGCAUUAAGCACUCCGCCUGGGGAGUACGGCCGCAAGGCUG
rnacentral:rRNA from 1 species